CGGAACGGGUGAGUAAUGCGUGACCAACCUGCCCCAUGCUCCAGAAUAGCUCUUGGAAACGGGUGGUAAUGCUGGAUGCUCCAACUUGACGCAUGUCUUGUUGGGAAAGUGUUUAGUGGCAUGGGAUGGGGUCGCGUCCUAUCAGCUUGUAGGCGGGGUAAUGGCCCACCUAGGCUUCGACGGGUAGCCGGCCUGAGAGGGCGGACGGCCACAUUGGGACUGAGAUACGGCCCAGACUCCUACGGGAGGCAGCAGGA
rnacentral:rRNA from 1 species